AGAGAAUCGAUGAACCCUAGAAGACCCCAAC
rnacentral:sRNA from 1 species